GUGAAUCAUCAAAUCUUUGAACGCAAAUUGCACUCUCUUCGGAGAGUAUGCCUGUUUGAGGGUCAGCCUAAAAAAAUCAACAUCGUUGCUGUUUCACAUUGGCGUUCGUCGGAAAUUGGGUUAUCUUAAAUCUUUGGUUUAAGCGACUUAAAAUUUUCUUUACGAUUCCAUGAACGUUCCUAGGAUUUAUUUCUUAACACGUUUAAGGUAUCGUUUUUAUUUAGCCUUGGCCGUAAUAUCG
rnacentral:misc_RNA from 1 species